rnacentral:rRNA from 1 species
UACGUAGGGACCAAGCGUUGUUCGGAUUUACUGGGCGUAAAGGGCGCGUAGGCGGCAAUUCAAGUCAGUUGUGAAAUCUCCGAGCUUAACUCGGAACGGUCAACUGAUACUGCUUUGCUAGAGUACAGAAGGGGCAAUCGGAAUUCUUGGUGUAGCGGUGAAAUGCGUAGAUAUCAAGAGGAACACCUGAGGUGAAGACGGGUUGCUGGGCUGAUGACUGACGCUGGAGGCGCGAAAGCUAGGGUAGCAAACGGG